UACGCUUAACGCUAGAGGGGGGUGAAUAGCGUUAUAAUAACAAACAGCGUAAACUUGCGGAAUUUAAAAAUUGCAGGAAUGAAAUAAGUGCGAUAAGUAAAUAAUAAGGAACGAACGCACCGAUGUAUCCUGUUCACCACAACCCGUGGCUAGUCCAGUCCCCGAGAGACUCUCUCGAGAUUUCCACUAUCUUCGUCAAGCUUACGGGUGCUUAACAAACCGUUACAGUUNN
rnacentral:lncRNA from 1 species